rnacentral:rRNA from 1 species
UACAGAGGGGGCAAGCGUUGUUCGGAAUUACUGGGCGUAAAGGGCGCGUAGGCGGCCACCUAAGUCAGACGUGAAAUCCCUCGGCUCAACCGGGGAACUGCGUCUGAUACUGGGCGGCUUGAAUUCGGGAGAGGAAUGCGGAAUUCCAGGUGUAGCGGUGAAAUGCGUAGAUAUCAGGAAGAACACCUAUGGCGAAGGCAGCUCUCUGGGACGGUACUGACGCUGAGGUGCGAAAGCGUGGGGAGCAAACAGG